rfam:Gossypium arboreum cultivar AKA8401 contig_37132_3, whole genome shotgun sequence.
UAUUCAAAAUUCCAUCCACUUGUACUGUUAAAUGUUGAUGUGAUUGACAAAAUAACUAGACAAUAGCAUGUGACGUGCCUUGUGUAUAUCAUGUUGACGUAUAUGGACUAAUUUUUAAUAGUAAAAAUGGAUGAAAUUUUCAACA